AGCGGGGUAGCUCAGCUGGCUAGAGCGGCGGAUUCAUAACCCGCAGGUCAGGAGUUCGAGCCUCCUCCCCGCUA
rnacentral:tRNA from 1 species